rnacentral:ncRNA from 2 species
AUGAAGGGUUUGGGAGAGAGUCAAUCUAUAUUGGGGAUGGACCGCCGAAGGUAUAAGCUAUGAUUAAAUAAGUUAUAGUGAAGUUCUCAGGCUAAAGGACCAUAUCUGGACA